rnacentral:rRNA from 1 species
ACUCCUACGGGAGGCAGCAGUAGGGAAUCUUCCACAAUGGACGAAAGUCUGAUGGAGCAACGCCGCGUGAACGAUGAAGGCUUCGGUCGGUAAAGUUACUGUUGUAAGGGAAGAACAAGUGCCGCAGGCAAUGGCGGCACCUUGACGGUACCUUGCGAGAAAGCCACGGCUAACUACGUGCCAGCAGCCGCGGUAAUACGUAGGUGGCAAGCGUUGUCCGGAAUUAUUGGGCGUAAAGCGCGCGCAGGCGGCCUCUUAAGUCUGAUGUGAAAGCCCCGGCUCAACCGGGGGAGGGCCAUUGGAAACUGGGAGGCUUGAGUAUAGGAGAGAAGAGUGGAAUUCCACGUGUAGCGGUGAAAUGCGUAGAGAUGUGGAGGAACACCAGUGGCGAAGGCGACUCUUUGGCCUAUAACUGACGCUGAGGCGCGAAAGCGUGGGGAGCGAAACAGGAUUAGAUACCCUGGUAGGAUAGCC